AGAGUUUGAUUCUGGCUCAGAAUGAACGCUGGCGGCGUGCCUAACACAUGCAAGUCGUACGAGAAAGGGGCUUCGGCCCUGAGUAGAGUGGCGCACGGGUGAGUAACGCGUGGGUAAUCUACCCUUGGAUUUGGGAUAACUUCGCGAAAGUGGAGCUAAUACCGGAUAGUCUGGCUUUAAUUGAUAAGUCGGUAAAGGAUGCCUCUGCAUAUGCAUUCGUCCAAGGAUGAGCCCGCGUCUCAUUAGCUAGUUGGUAGGGUAAUGGCCUACCAAGGCAACGAUGAGUAACUGGUCUGAGAGGAUGAUCAGUCACACUGGAACUGAAACACGGUCCAGACUCCUACGGGAGGCAGCAGUGGGGAAUAUUGCGCAAUGGGCGAAAGCCUGACGCAGCAACGCCGUGUGAGGGAUGAAGGCUUUCGGGUCGUAAACCUCUGUCAGAAGGGAAGAACGGGUAAUGGUCUAAUAGGCCGUUAUUUUGACGGUACCUUCAGAGGAAGCACCGGCUAACUCCGUGCCAGCAGCCGCGGUAAU
rnacentral:rRNA from 1 species